rnacentral:rRNA from 1 species
UACGUAGGGUGCGAGCGUUGUCCGGAAUUAUUGGGCGUAAAGAGCUCGUAGGCGGUCUGUCGCGUCGGUCGUGAAAACUUGGGGCUUAACCCUGAGCUUGCGGUCGAUACGGGCAUGACUGGAGUUCGGCAGGGGAGACUGGAAUUCCUGGUGUAGCGGUGAAAUGCGCAGAUAUCAGGAGGAACACCGGUGGCGAAGGCGGGUCUCUGGGCCGAUACUGACGCUGAGGAGUGAAAGCGUGGGGAGCGAACGGG